rnacentral:rRNA from 1 species
ACGCUCGACACCUACGGGAGACAGCAGUGGGGAAUAUUGCACAAUGGGGGGAAACCCUGAUGCAGCGACGCCGCGUGGAGGAAGAAGGUCUUUGGAUUGUAAACUCCUGUUGUUGGGGAAAAAGAGGAUGGUACCCAACAAGGAAGUGACGGCUAACUACGUGCCUGCAGCCGCGGUAAUCUGAGCGGGCUGGCAAGGC